CCUACGGGAGGCACCAGUGAGGAAUAUUUGUCAAUGGACGAGAGUCUGAACCAGCCAAGUAGCGUGAAGGAUGACUGCCCUAUGGGUUGUAAACUUCUUUUAUAUGGGAAUAAAAUGUUCCACGUGUGGGAUUUUGUAUGUACCAUAUGAAUAAGGAUCGGCUAACUCCGUGCCAGCAGCCGCGGUAAUACGGAGGAUCCGAGCGUUAUCCGGAUUUAUUGGGUUUAAAGGGAGCGUAGGUGGAUUGUUAAGUCAGUUGUGAAAGUUUGCGGCUCAACCGUAAAAUUGCAGUUGAAACUGGCAGUCGUGAGUACAGUAGAGGUGGGCGGAAUUCGUGGUGUAGCGGUGAAAUGCUUAGAUAUCACGAAGAACUCCGAUUGCGAAGGCAGCUCACUGGACUGCAACUGACACUGAGGCUCGAAAGUGUGGGUAUCAAACAGGAUUAGAUACCCCUGUAGUC
rnacentral:rRNA from 1 species